rnacentral:rRNA from 1 species
UUUAGGGACCACCCUGCCACCCUGACUACACUGAUCUCUUCUGGUUUUGAAAGUUAAGCAGGGAUGGCCUUGGUCAGUACUUGGAUGAGAGACCAUCAGAGAAUACCAGGAAUUGCCAGAU